CCCGACUGCUAUUUGGGUGAGGAUAAGCCAUGCGAGUUGAAUGGGAUACCUAAAGUUCCCAUGGCAAACUGCUCAGUAACACAUGAUCAACUUACCCUAUAGAGAAAAAUAACCUCGGGAAACUGAGGAUAAUGUUUCAUAGUUGAAUUGGCUUGGAAAAGUUUUUCGACGAAAGGGGUAAAAAAAAUGGUUUUUAUCUGCUAUAGGAUAGGAUCGUGUUCGAUUAUGGUUGUUGGUGAGGUAAUGGCUCACCAAGCCGAUAAUCGAUAGGGGCCGUGAGAGCGGGAGCCCCGAGAUGGGUACUGAGACAACGACCCAGGCCUUACGAGGCGCAGCAGGCGCGGAACCUCCGCAAUACACGAAAGUGUGACGGGGUUACCCAAAGUGUUCAAUAGAACUGUGGUAGGUGAGUAAUGUCCCCUACUAGAAAGGAGAGGGCAAGGCUGGUGCCAGCCGCCGCGGUAAAACCAGCUCUUCAAGUGGUCGGGAUAAUUAUUGGGCUUAAAGUGUCCGUAGCCGGUUUAGUAAGUUCCUGGUAAAAUCGGGUAGCUUAACUAUCUGCAUGCUAGGAAUACUGCUAUACUAGAGGGCGGGAGAGGUCUGAGGUACUACAGGGGUAGGGGUGAAAUCUUAUAAUCCUUGUAGGACCACCAGAGGCGAAGGCGUCAGACUGGAACGCGCCUGACGGUGAGGGACGAAAGCCAGGGGAGCGAACCGGAUUAGAUACCCGGGUAGUCCUGGCCGUAAACGAUGCAUACUAGGUGGUGGUACGGCCAUGAGCCGUAUCAGUGCCGUAGGGAAACCGUUAAGUGUGCCGCCUGGGAAGUACGGUCGCAAGGCUAAAACUUAAAGGAAUUGGCGGGGGAGCACCACAAGGGGUGAAGCCUGCGGUUCA
rnacentral:rRNA from 1 species